rnacentral:rRNA from 1 species
AUUGAACGCUGGCGGCAGGCUUAACACAUGCAAGUUCGAACGGUAGCAGGAGAAAGCUUCGCUUUUCUCGCUGACUAGCGGCGGAACGGGUGAGUAAUGCUUGGGAAUCUGGCUUAUGGAGGGGGAAUAACUACGGGAAACUGUAGCUAAUACCGCGUAGUAUCGGAAGUAUGAAAGUGCGGGACCGCAAGGCCGCAUGCCAUGAGAUGAGCCCAAGUGGGAUUAGGUAGUUGGUGGGGUAAAGGCCUACCAAGCCUGCGAUCUCUAGCUGGUCUGAGAGGAUGGCCAGCCACACUGGAACUGAGACACGGUCCAGACUCCUACGGGAGGCAGCAGUGGGGAAUAUUGCGCAAUGGGGGGAACCCUGACGCAGCCAUGCCGCGUGAAUGAAGAAGGCCUUCGGGUUGUAAAGUUCUUUCGGUAUUGAGGAAGGAGUGUAUGUUAAUAGCAUACAUUAUUGACGUUAAAUACAGAAGAAGCACCGGCUAACUCCGUGCCAGCAGCCGCGGUAAUACGGAGGGUGCGAGCGUUAAUCGGAAUAACUGGGCGUAAAGGGCACGCAGGCGGUUAUUUAAGUGAGGUGUGAAAGCCCCGGGCUUAACCUGGGAAUUGCAUUUCAGACUGGGUAACUAGAGUACUUUAGGGAGGGGUAGAAUUCCACGUGUAGCGGUGAAAUGCGUAGAGAUGUGGAGGAAUACCGAAGGCGAAGGCAGCCCCUUGGGAAUGUACUGACGCUCAUGUGCGAAAGCGUGGGGAGCAAACAGGAUUAGAUACCCCGGUAGUCCACGCUGUAAACGCUGUCGAUUUGGGGAUUGGGCUUAAAGCUUGGUGCCCGUAGCUAACGUGAUAAAUCGACCGCCUGGGGAGUACGGCCGCAAGGUUAAAACUCAAAUGAAUUGACGGGGGCCCGCACAAGCGGUGGAGCAUGUGGUUUAAUUCGAUGCAACGCGAAGAACCUUACCUACUCUUGACAUCCAUGGAAUCCUGUAGAGAUACGGGAGUGCCUUCGGGAACCAUGAGACAGGUGCUGCAUGGCUGUCGUCAGCUCGUGUUGUGAAAUGUUGGGUUAAGUCCCGCAACGAGCGCAACCCUUAUCCUUUGUUGCCAGCGAUUCGGUCGGGAAACUCAAAAGGAGACUGCCAGUGAUAAAACUGGAGGAAGGUGGGGAUGACGUCGAAGUCAUCAUGGCCCUUACGAGUAGGGCUACGACGACGUGCUACGAAUGGCGUAUACAGGAGGGUGGCGAAUGCCGCGAG